CACGAACCGUACGAACGUUAUUCGGAAUUACUGGGCUUAAAGGGUUUGUAGGCGGCCAUGUAAGUCAGGUGUGAAAUCCCUCGGCUCAACCGAGGAGCGGCGCUUGAUACUGCAUGGCUUGAGGGAGACAGGGGUAAGCGGAACUGAUGGUGGAGCGGUGAAAUGCGUUGAUAUCAUCAGGAACACCGGUGGCGAAAGCGGCUUACUGGGUCUCUUCUGACGCUGAGGAACGAAAGCUAGGGUAGCGAACGGG
rnacentral:rRNA from 1 species